rnacentral:rRNA from 1 species
UACGUAGGUGGCAAGCGUUAUCCGGAAUUAUUGGGCGUAAAGAGCGCGCAGGUGGUUAAUUAAGUCUGAUGUGAAAGCCCACGGCUUAACCGUGGAGGGUCAUUGGAAACUGGUUGACUUGAGUGCAGAAGAGGGAAGUGGAAUUCCAUGUGUAGCGGUGAAAUGCGUAGAGAUAUGGAGGAACACCAGUGGCGAAGGCGAUUCUCUGGACUGUAACUGACGCUGAGGCUCGAAAGCGUGGGGAGCAAACAGG